UGAGGGUCUGUCUCAAAAAAAAAAAAAAAAAAAAAAGAACAGAUAGUUUAUACCAUUACACCUUUACCCUAUGUAAGAUUCUUACCAAUUCUGAUGUGUGACAAGGUAUGAAAAUUCAAUGGUAAAUGAUAACUUUCCAGUUUGUAUCUUUUGAACCUUGGAAUUCUAUUUCUUACACUAAUUAGUUGUGUGACUUUAGAAAAUGUAUUUCAUUUUUCUGGGCCUCAGUUUCAUCAUCUGCAAAAUGGUCCCCACUAAACCUACCUCUGAAAGGUGUGAAAAAAAUCAAAGAGCUAAGGUAGGUUAGCACCCAGCACAUAAUAAGUAUUCAACAAAUGGUCUUGCUCUUUUGACAUCAUGGUUAUUUAACGUCUGUUCAUAGAUAAGAUUUUAUCAAUUCUCAAUGAAAGCAACAAAGGAAGGUUCAUAUUUUUCCAUUUUGUUACCAAAAAUACUAUUAGAUUUUAAAGAAAACAGAGCACAUCUUUCACCACAUGAGAAUAAGAAAUCCACUCUUUUUUGGCAAGCAAAAAAAAAAAAAAAAAAGCCAUAAACACAACUGACAUUAAUUCUCUGUGCAUAUUGCAUCUUGCCUCCCUGUUUUACAGUUUUCAGAAACCAAGCGUCCAUCUGUCUCUAGAGACCUAUUCUAGGUUCUAGAAAAGAAAACACCCUCUAGAUCUGGUAGCGCUUUUGAUUUGGCUGACUUAAGGCCCCUAGCGUGAUUCCUCCUGCUGGUGCGUGCGUGAGGCCAGGAUGCUGAUUUAUGGCUGCUUCUGCUCUGCCGGUUAACCCCGUCACAGGUCACUCUGCUCUGUUAAUUACAUCCUAACCUUCCUCGGCUCUUCUGCAGUGAAAUCGCAGCAGAGGGGACAGUGCAGCUUGGUGCGCAUUGCUCAUUUGUGCCCACGUGGGAAGAACUGCCAGGAUGCCCAGGACACCAACUCCCUGGCUUCUGCAGUCCUGAAUCAGCACGAGAGCUGUGGGUCUGCGUCCCCUGGCUGCAUGGCUGACUGUGUCUCUGUGGAGGGACCUUUGCUGGAGAACACUCACAUGUUAACUUGUUUCUUCAGUCUAGGCCUUUUUUGGCCCCGUUGGUUAUUCAUUCUGGAUGAUACACCUCUUAUUUCAGUUCAGAUGUUUCACGGAAGAGGCAUUGAAGAAAGAGUGGAUGCCCAUGUUUGUUGGCAGUAGGUAGCAUUUACUACUCCGGCUGUAGUAAAAGAAAAAAAGGAGAAAUUACAUAGAUUCUCCAUCUUUAAGGAAAAAGCAAUUAAAUCACCAAAGUCAGAUUCUCAAGUAAUUGCUGGGCCUUCGGAGGCGCGGGCGAGGUGAAGUGUGAGGCCCCAGGUCUCUGUCUUGUGUAGGGCUGGCAUUGCCUGCUGGGGACUCCGAGCAGAGGCUGUGCCAGGGAAGGCAGUGUGCAGGGAGAAACCCAGAGCCUCUUGCCAGCCUCCCCUCCCAGCUGCCAUCCAUGCACUUGUCCCAGCUUCCUGGCUGUCCUGAGGCCAGGCAAGAAGGAGCAGGGCUCCAGCUACAGAAGUUAUAGGAGGUGGCUCUCAGAGCCUUGAUUUCCUCCACUGGAAAUACUGAGAACAGUAUCCUCCAGGCCUACUUUCCAAAAGCCGUUAUGAAGAUUACCUAGACUCAUACCUGUGAAGGCUGGUGAAAGAAUAAAGCAACCUAAACACACAAGGUGUUAAAAAUAUCCCUUCCAACUAAAUAACAGAUCAGUUUGUAUCCCAGGCUUGCCCGACAGAGGCAGUCACAGUGGAGGGGUGGGGGCCCUGGGCCUUACCAGGUGACCUCCCAUCAGUCAGGAAGACGAUGACAUGUGGCAAUGCCCAGCACCACCUGGCUAGGAUCACUUCUCGUGCCUUCCUUUCUCAUUCUCCAGCCUGGGUCGGUAGCACAAUCCAAAGAGCCAGCAGGCGGUCUCUCCCGGUCCACGGAGGCAGAGGAGCUGUCUGAACGUGCACAGCGGCCCCUGACAACCCGGCCCCGUAUCAAGAGCUGCCCUGCACCCGGUGAUCUCUGCAAAUCACUGCUCACCCAGAAGGAAAACCAAUUUACAUUGGGAUGAUCUUCAGGAAGAUUCCUGCUAGUUUAUCUCAGAAGAACAGCAGCCUGUACAUGAGCCUGUUCCCCUUGAGAAUUUCCUCUUCCUUCGGCAGUAUCUUGAAAUGGCCACAUUUUCCAUACCUAUGACUUCCUAUCAGCUUUUCAAAUGCUCCACUACAAACUAAGGUUAUUCUAGCAUUGACAAUGUGAUCUCAGGAUUUCCACAACUAGCUUUCCUCAAGAUGAAUAUUGGGAUGAGUUCGGCAGCAGGCUAUGUGAUAAGGAGCGCCGGCAUGGGAGUCAGAAAGUGUUGUGAACCCUAUAGAAAUGACAUCACCUGUCUCAACCUCAUUGUCAUCAGCUGUAAGUGAGAGAGUGAAUGAAGAAUGCUUCCAGCUGUUAAAUCCUGUAAGUCAAGAGAACCUGUGCUCCAGAGGAGAACGUGUAUAUUGGCAAAAAGUUUCUGCUGCACUGUGAACCCAGGAAGUGUGAACACAUCCCAGUGGGCAGACAGCUGGCUGCCUACCAAAUCUAUCUUCCCAUUCUUUCAACGGAAUGGUCUAGCCCAAUAUGUGACCUCUCAGUUGGAGACUAUGUUUCAAGAGUCCCUUGCUGGCGAGUGUCUGAGCCCCUUCCAGUGGAAUGUGAGCAGAAGGGAUAGGAGACGUUUCUAGGCCCAGCGUCUGACACAACCUUCCCUGUGGUUGCUGCUGAACUGCAGAGCAGCUGAGGACCAACCGGCUUUGAGCAUGCAGAUGCAGGACUACUGAAUGAGAGAUGAAAAAACUGCUUUGUCCUUGAAAUGAACUCUUCCUCUAAAAUCGUAUGUAAACCUUGGGGCUCAUGCAUAAGAAUUAAAGAGAAAGAAGAAAAGAAA